rnacentral:rRNA from 1 species
UACCCUGCAAGUCGAACGGUAGAGGGGCAACCCUUGAGAGUGGCGAACGGGUGACUAUUACAUCGGAACGUGCCCAGUCGUGGGGGAUAACGUAGCGUUUGCUACGCUAAUACCGCAUACGACCUGAGGGUGAAAGCGGGGGAUCGCAAGACCUCGCGCGAUUGGAGCGGCCGAUGGCAGAUUAGGUAGUUGGUGGGGUAAAGGCCUACCAAGCCUGCGAUCUGUAGCUGGUCUGAGAGGACGACCAGCCACACUGGGACUGAGACACGGCCCAGACUCCUACGGGAGGCAGCAGUGGGGAAUUUUGGACAAUGGGCGCAAGCCUGAUCCAGCCAUACCGCGUGCGGGAAGAAGGCCUUCGGGUUGUAAACCGCUUUUGUCAGGGAAGAAAUCUUCUGGGCUAAUACCUCGGGAGGAUGACGGUACCUGAAGAAUAAGCACCGGCUAACUACGUGCCAGCAGCCGCGGUAAUACGUAGGGUGCAAGCGUUAAUCGGAAUUACUGGGCGUAAAGCGUGCGCAGGCGGUUCCAUAAGACAGAUGUGAAAUCCCCGGGCUCAACCUGGGAACUGCAUUUGUGACUGUGGGGCUAGAGUACGGUAGAGGGGGAUGGAAUUCCGCGUGUAGCAGUGAAAUGCGUAGAUAUGCGGAGGAACACCAAUGGCGAAGGCAAUCCCCUGGACCUGUACUGACGCUCAUGCACGAAAGUGUGGGGAGCAAAC